CCUCUCCUGCGCAGUAGUUUGCACAACUCGCACCGGGAGCGCGGCGCGUCCACGUCCGUAAAACACCCAACUUUCUGAAAUGUUGACCUCGGAUCAGGUAGGAAUACCCGCUGAACUUAAGCAUAUCAAGAGGGGGAGAGAGAA
rnacentral:rRNA from 1 species